rnacentral:snRNA from 1 species
UUCUUUUGUGCAACACAUAUACUAAAAUUGGAACAAUAUACAGAAUAUUAGUAUGGCUCCGUGCAAAGAUGACAUGCAAUUUCUUAAAGCAUUCCAUAUUUUU